CGACGUCUCUGCUCAUGCUCCGGGCGCCAGCUGUGGGGACUUUUCGCAGCGCUCAGUUCACAUGUGUACGUCGGAAGUGAUACUUGGGUCUGGCAUUCAAGGACGCUCUCGUUCCUGUUCCAGCGUCUCGCUGGAGUCGGUCGUGGUCCAGGAGUCAAGAGCCCGCCCGGGAGAAGGAGCAGGUCACGGUCUCGGUCCGAAAGGCGCCACCAGAGAAAGUACGGGCGCCACUCGCAGUCUUCCUCGCGGAGCGGGUCGCGAUCCCGUAGGAAGUGUCGCUCUCGGGGAAGGUCGUAUUACAGAAGGGCCUUCUCGAACACGCAGGGUGACAGUACUAGGGCUCUGACCCUGUGGUGUACCCGAAAGAACACAGCACUUGGAGGGAGAGAUCCAGGAAGAGGUCGCAGAGCAGAACCCCGUUUCCUGUAAAAUGGAGCUAUUAGAAAUAGCAAAAGCAAGCGCAGCUAAAUCAUUCGGAACAGCCAACCUUGACUUCCCAGCUAGUCUCAGAACUGUUCCUUGUAUCUAAAGAAAGAAACUGUGGAACAGCUGUACUAAAUACUGCAAAGUUCAAGUUUCUUGUGUCAUAAGUGGGUUCUGAAGACUAUCCCCUGACAUGCCCUGAGGCCGGUGAGUAACCAGGUGCCAGUACCUAACAAGCCCAUUGUGCUCACUGCUUUCUCAUUGACCAUGGAGUUCUAGGGAUCCCAUCCAGGACAGCACAUUACAUUUAUGUCUCCUGAGGCUCCUCUUAACUGUGACAGUUUCUCAGACUUUCCUUGUUUCUGAUGCACAGAUUUGAGGAGUACUGGUCAGGAAUAUUGUAGGUGUUGGUUAUUUUUUGUAUGUAACAUUUCAUGAUUAAAACUUACUAAUCAGGGGGACUUCCCUGGUGGUCCAGUGGUUAAGAAUCCAUCUGCCAAUGCAGGGGACACAGGUUCCAUCCCUGGUCUGGGAAGAUCCCAUAUGCCGUGGGGCAGCUAAGCCCGUGCACCAUACUACCAAGCCCGAGCUCUAGAACCCGCGUGCCGCAACUACUGAGCCUGCGUGCUGCAACUACUGAAGCCUGCACGCCUAGAGCCCGUGCUCCACAACAAGAGAAGCCACUGCAGUG